rnacentral:rRNA from 1 species
UACGGGGGGGGGCAAGCGUUGUUCGGAAUUACUGGGCGUAAAGGGCUCGUAGGCGGCCAACUAAGUCAGACGUGAAAUCCCUAGGCUCAACCUAGGAACUGCGUCUGAUACUGGAUGGCUUGAAUCCGGGAGAGGGAUGCAGAAUUCCAGGUGUAGCGGUGAAAAUGCGUAGAUAUCUGGAGGAAUACCGGUGGCGAAGGCGGCAUCCUGGACCGGCAUUGACGCUGAGGAGCGAAAGCCAGGGGAGCAAACGGG